ensembl:lncRNA
AGACCCUUUACUCAGUACUUUGUUGAAGCACCUUUGGCAGCGAUUACAGCCUCGAGUCUUCUUGGGUAUGACGCUGCAAGCUUGGCACACCUGUAUUUGGAGAGUUUCUCCCAUUCUUCUCUGCAGAUCUUCUCAAGCUCUGUCAGGUUGGAUGGGGAGAGUUACUGCACAGCCAUUUUCAGGUCUGACCAGAGAUGUUUGAUCCGGUUCAAGUCCGGGCUCUGGCUGGGCCACUCAAAGACAUGUCCUGAAGCCACUACUGCGUUGUCUUUGCUGUGUGCUUAGGGUCGUUGUCCUGUUGGAAGGUGAACCUUCGCCCCAGUCUGAGGUCCUGAGCACUCUGGAGCAGGUUUUCAUCAGGAUCUCUCUGUACUUUUCUUCAUUCAGCUUUGCCUCGAUCCUGACUGUGUCCCAGUCCCUACCAUUGAAAAACACCCCCACAGCAUGAUGCUGCCACCACCAUGCUUCACCAUAAGGAUGGUGCAAGGUUUCCUCCAGACAUGACACUUGGCAUUAAGGCCAAAGAUUUCAAUCUUGGUUUCAUCCACCAGAGACUCUGGUUUCUCAUGGUCUGGGAGUCUUUAGGUACCUAAUGGUCUGGGAGUCUUUAGGUACCUAAUGGUCUGGGAGUCUUUAGGUACCUAAUGGUCUGAGAGUCUUUAGGUACCUAAUGGUCUGAGAGUCUUUAGGUACCUCAUGGUCUGGGAGUCUUUAGGUACCUUUUGGAAAACUCCAAGCGGGCUGUCAUGUGCUUUUUACUGAGGAGUGGCUUCCGUCUGGCCACUCUACCAUAAACUGGUGGAGUGUUGCAGAGAUGGGUUCUUGGUAACCUCCCUGACCAAGGCCCUUCUCCCCCGAUUGCUCAGUUUGGUCAAGGGGUCUGAAUACUUUCCGAAUGCAGUGUACAUUGUGUGUCCCCACAAGGUAAGUUAAACAAGAUGGCGAUUGUGUGUGUUUCCAGUAACAUCCCAAUAACAAAACAGCUUCUGUCUCAAGGUCAUCAGACUGUUAAACAGCCAUCACUAACAGAGUGGCUGCUGCCAACAUACAGACUCAAAUCUCUG